rnacentral:rRNA from 1 species
GCGGAGGAAAAGAAACUAACAAGGAUUCCCCUAGUAACGGCGAGUGAAGAGGGAAGAGCUCAAAGUUGGAACCGAGUCGCUUUAAGUGAUUUCGGGUUGUAAGCUAGAGAAGCGUUUUCCAGGCGAGCUGGGUAUGUAAGUCCCUUGGAAUAGGGCAUCAUAGAGGGUGAGAAUCCCGUAUGCCUACCCAAGCUAAUAUCGCCUUGUUGUGAUACGCUUUCAAAGAGUCAGGUUGUUUGGGAAUGCAGCCUAAAAUGGGUGGUAAAUCUCAUCUAAAGCUAAAUAUUGGCGAGAGACCGAUAGCGAACAAGUACCGUGAGGGAAAGAUGAAAAGAACUUUGAAAAGAGAGUUAAACAGUAUGUGAAAUUGCUGAAAGGGAACCGUUUGAAGUUAGACUGGCUGGUCUAUAAUCAAUCCUGGCUUUGGUUAGGAUGCACUUGUAGGCCAUUUUGCCUGCCAACGACAGUUUUUUGGGUAGGAAAAAAGUACUGAGAAGGUAGCCUCGUUUUCGGAUGAGGUGUUAUAGCUCGGUACAAAAUACUAUCYGAGAGACUGAGGAAUGCAGCGAACGCUUAUAGGCAGAGCUGCAGGUCGCUUGGUCAAAUCUAGGCUGGAAUUUCUUACCUCGGGUAGUGCCAGUCUUUACUAGAUCAACUCGGCUUGUAGACUUCUAGUUUCGCUUAGGUCGUUGGCUUAAUGACUUUAAAUGAC